UAUACAGGAGAUAUAAAAUAUCUCCACAAUGGACAUGCCGUUAUGCCAUCUUAAAUCUAACACAACGACCUCUGCUGGUACACAGGACGUAUGACACACCGUGCUCACUGGUUGACAAUUAUACUCGGACAUAGAUACAUCACCGUUACAGGGAUACAGGAUAAUUAUAUCAAAUAUAAAAGAUACAAAACAUUAUACACUUGUUGCCCAGUAUAGGUUUUUUUAACAGAGUAAUCUCAAAUAUAUGUACUGUUCUGCAUAGAUAGUGCCACUGCUCUUAAGGCGCAGAGAUGUGGACUACUGCCUUUUAAUUUUAAGAGGUAAAAGUAAGGCUAAAUAGAUAAUAAAAGAGUUGUGUGUGUUAGUAUGCGCCUCCACCCUAGGUUAAGGGUUAAUACUAAUGUCUACAGGUUCCAGGAGCCGGGCCCUGUAUGAGCAGAUGUGUGUGUGUGUGCAGUCUGUGCACUGUUUGCGCAGUCUCAGACUGUGCAUCGAUCCAUGACACUAACCACAAUGCCUUCCUGCUGAUGUUGCAAUAAUUACCAAAGCGCUUCUGCCUGUCAACCUGGCCAUCUGGAAAGUAGCUACAAUCCCUCUGAUGGCCUCGUGCUGAACCCAUUACCCUGUAUGGCGGCAUGUAAAUCAUGUUUUUGGUCUUUUCGUUAAUUGUUUUUUUAAAUGGUGCAUCUAACGCCUCAUUUUAUGACCAGGGAAUUACAGCCCUUCCAAGAGAUCACAAUUUGGUGACUAUCAAAACUUUCCCUUUACAUUUCUUUAGGACUUUUCUUAAUUUCAAAAUAUCGAGGACACAUAAUCCGUUUGUUUUUGUUGCAGUUGGUGUGAGGUUGACCCACAGUUUUGGGUAAAAUGCUUGGACUUCCUACAGACACACAGGAAUACCUCUCCAAGCUUAUACCCUUACAUGGAUAAUAUCUGUUUCACAACAAUCACUCUUUGAUUAUAUUUCAGUACAUUUCACAGCUAACAUGCACAUGAGCAUUUGAACACAACACCUCCUUCCUCUUCCUACCCCUCACAGGCAGAGGUGUUCAAUGCGUUCAGGGAGUUCUUCCAGGCAGCGUCGUCUCGACCAGCUCCGUGUGGUGUAUGUCCCUACCCGUCAUCCCGGGCCAUCUACGCUGUGGACCUCAUGCUAAAGUGGAGUACGGGUCAAAAAGGUGAGCGAGUCAUGCAGCCUCAGAUCCUGGAGUUCAACUUCAGCCCAGACUGCGCCAGGGCCUGCCUCUACCACCCCUCCUUCUACAACCACAUGUUCCAGACACUGUUCCUGGAUCAGCCCGAGCACUGUCCGGUCACACAAAUAGCAUGAUCGACUCCACUCUGUCUUUCUCUGUCACCGGUUUACCACCUACAUUCUAGUUGAUAUUAAAAGCUUAUGAAACACGUUUGCCUCUGUAACUCAAUUCCUCGUGAAUCUUUAAAUCAUUACCUUUUUUUUAUUUUAAUAGUUAUUACAAGGUUGUCCUCUGAACCUGAUGGUGUUAUGAACUUGGUGGUGGUGAUUAAAACUCAAACACUGCUGUACACAAUGAGAAGCAAUAAAACCAUGUUUGGAUUAUACAUGAUUGUGAUGAAACUUAAGUAUUCAGUUACCUUUCCCCUCCUCCGCCCACCUUCCUGUUCAUCACUUCUUUCCUUCCUUGUGGCUUCACACGUCGGUCGUCUACUUGAAGAGGAGAGAACAUUCAGACAGAAAUAGAUGAACAUCUGCUUAGUUGUAAAAAGGGAAGUUUAAGCAAGCAGCUCUAGAUAAAGAAUGUGCAGAAGAUGAAAUCUGUUCAUUCGAUGUGUGAUUAGAUAUAUGACCAUGGGUUUCCGCCAGAAAAGUUGUUUGGCCCUGUGGCAAGCGUCGUUUUAAAAAUUCUUUAAUGUAUUUUUCUUUGUUUCUGUGUUAUUAUUCGGUUAAUGCUGACUUGUCAGUGAUUUUCUACCUGGUGUAGUGUAGAUGUAUCUUUACUCAAGUAGACCGGGCCUUAAUUCUAUAAUCUGGGUAUUUAUGUGUGUGUAUUUUUUAUCUUUGUCCCAAUUAAUAAAUACAUGUUUAACUUUAAAA